GUGGGGUGGCUUGUCGCUUGGCGAGUUCUCGCUAAGAGGAAAGUCCGGGCAACACAGAGCAUCACAUUUCUUAACGGGAAGCCAUGGGCGACCGUGGGGUUAAAGUGACAGAAAAUAACCGCCACCAGUGCGCUUGUCGCAUUGGUGGUAAGGGUGAAAAGGCGGGGUAAGAGCCCACCGGACGUGAUGGUGACAUUGCGUGCCGCACCACCUGUGAGUUGCAAGGUCAAGUAUACCGACAUUUAAGGGCUGCUCGUCCAUUGUCGGGGGGUAGGCUGCUACUUCGUGCCGCGCAAGUGGCCCGAUAUACCGUCACAGCAAUGUGUCGGACAGAUAAAUGGCAAGCGGCAGAGCCAUGUGCGCUGCUACAUAACCCGGCUUAUAGCCCCACUGC
rnacentral:RNase_P_RNA from 1 species